rnacentral:rRNA from 1 species
GUCCACACUGUAAACGAUGAUGACUAACUGUUGGCUUUAGGGUCAGUGGUACAGAGAAAUCGUUAAGUCAUCCACCUGGGGAGUACGCCGGCAACGGUGAAACUCAAAGGAAUUGACGGGGUCGCACAAGCGGUGGAGCAUGUGGUUUAAUUCGAUGAUACGCGAGGAACCUUACCUAGGCUAGAAUGUGAGUGAAUGUAGUAGAGAUAUUACAGUCCGCAAGGACACGAAACAAGGUGCUGCAUGGCUGUCGU